CUUAUACCCCCUCCGUUUGAAAAUACCUGUCCUAGAAAUAGAUGUAUCUAGACUUAUUUUAGUUAUAGAUACAUUUAUUUUAUUUAUUUCUAGGACAAGUAUUUCCGAACAGAGGGAGUAAGCA
rnacentral:pre_miRNA from 1 species